rnacentral:lncRNA from 1 species
CAGGAUACUGAGGCAGAAGAAGAACGGAGGUUAUCUUUGUGUCAUAAGUUGUCGACGUUUAGGGUUUAGAGCCGUCGUGAUCGUAUCCUCCGGCCUGAACAACGUUGUUUUAUGUUCAGAGCGGAGGACCCGGCUUUUACGUUUACCUCGCUCACGUUUUCUGUCGACGACGUUCUUUAGUAGUGCCCCCGCGCAUCGGUGUGGAUGGACGCGCAGUGGGAUAUAUAUGUGUUUCCAGGUAGUUGGAGAUUCGAAACGAACCAGUGAUGUAGAUUUGUUUCAUCUAAAUAUAUGCUAUAGUUCAAAACUGCUGAAGCCUUUUUGAGCAGUGUCGUCGUUGAUGUGGCGCUGCGCUUGUGACGUUCUUUCGUGUCGCUAGCCAAACCAGAAGUAUAUCGUGACAAUCGGUUGCGGGGCAGCUGGCGACAUCCACUUUCUCGGCUCUCGUCCAUCCACCAAUUCUUAAGCUAGAAACGGCACUGAAAUGAUCCUAUUCCAAAAUAACUUUGUCUAAGAGAUUAUCUCAAUCGUGUCCUGUCUUAUUAUUGCAACCAAAUACUCUCUCUGUCCCAAAACAUUAGUCAUCUUAGCUCUUGAAUUUUUUACUAGAUGAGUGCCCGUGCGUUGCAACGGAAACAUCUAAUAAUAUGAUAACUUAUGUACAAAUGUGUGUUAUAUUGUUAUGAGAAAAUGUUUCAGAAUCCAUUGUGAUCCACAUGGCGCGCCAGCAGCCGGAGCGAGUGCCGCCGCAGCGGUGUCCUGUCGGUUGCGCAGGUGGCUGGAAGCGCGACGGGGUUUGCGGGAGCCCGCCCCUGAGCGGCGGGCUGUUCGCGGCGGCGACGAGCGCCAGCAGCCGGAGCGAGUGCCGCCACAGCGGCGUCCUGUCGGUUGUGGAGGUGGUUGGAAGCGCGGCGGGGUUUGCGGGAGCCCGCCCCUGAGCGGCGGGCUAUUCGCGGGGUACCCUGUGGUGGGCCCGAGGACGCGCUGCUGACGGUGUGCCCCUGGGACCCGCGCGUGCGGGGCGGCACCCUCUUCCACCAGACCACCUUCAGCCUCCCCGUGCGCCGCGCCGUGCUGUUCGUCGCCGAGGUGCACCGGCUGCGGGACCUAGAGCCUAGGGCGCUGUGUGGCGUGGAGCUCUACAACGGCAUCCUCAUGCGCUACGUGAAGGCGUCCACAGCCUACCUGGGCAAGCUCGCGUCGCGCGGGGAGCCGUCGGGAGACAUGGUGGACUUCGACAUCACAUACUACCGCAGCCGUGACCCCGGGCAGGCGCGCCUGUUCGAGGACGUGCUGGAGGAGGUCGAGCAGAUGGGUAUCUUCAAGUACGGUGGUCUGCCGCACUGGGGCAAGAACUGCAACCUCGCCUUCGUCGGUGCCGCGCGCAAAUACCCCGGCCUGCCGCACUUCCUGCGCGUCAAGGACGCCUACGACCCCGAUGGCCUCUUCUCCAGCGGCGGCGGCGAGCGCUGCGGCCAGCUGCGCGCACUGGUCCUGCUCGUGGAGCACGACGUCGGUGAGCGGGGCCAGCGCCGCGGGCGGUGCGCGCACGGAGGAGUCCGGGCCCCGGACGCGGCGCAGCGCGGCGGCCAGGAGCCUGGGCACGAGCGGCGCGACGGCGUCCCGCGGGUGCUCCCCGGCGACGAGCGCCAGCAGCCGGAGCGAGUGCCGCCGCAGCGGCGUCCUGUCGGUUGCGGAGGUGGUUGGAAGCACGGCGGGGUUUGCGGGAGGGCGUGCGGGCGGAUGCGGGGACGGUUUACACUGCUAACUUAAUAGUUAGUAGAGAUAUCCUUAUCUGACACCAUAAAAACACUUGAUUUUAUAAGUCAAAAGCCCUUAGGUGCGCUAGUGUAGCAGUUGCACCGACCAGAGCCACGCCACCCCCACGCUGUACCUUGUGCUUCAAUCAAUCACAAACAAGGUACUACGCGCUGGUAUCCUAGAGGUCUUAGGGUUGUUUGUUUCGAAUUAAAGUCGGUUAUUUGAAGCUAAUACAGAUUAAAGCUAAGCGAAUAUGCUUUUUUAUUUUUUUAUUUUUUUAAACACCGGUCCAUCGCGGAUGAUAUAUAUCCCUAUCUUAGCUGACCCAUGAUUGUCCUUGCCUCCUUCAACAGGCGUGACCUGAACCUCAUACGUGCACCCCAGAGCAAGAUCAACACUCCCGAAUCAAGAUCGUAAUGAGUGGUAUUGAGGGGGACUAAAGCCCCGUUUGGUUUAAGGUGACUAAAGUUUACACUUUUAGUCCCUAAAUAAGUAAACACGUUAACUAAAGUGGGGUGACUAAACUUUAGUUUUUUAGUCACCAAGGGGAUGACUAAAAGGGACUAAAAUAAUAUUUUUACCUUAUCUGCCCUCUCCACUUUCUUUUUAUAGCAAACAUUCAUUAAUUAAUAGGGGUAAAACAGUCAUUAUUCAUAGCAAUUAAUGCUCUUUAGUCCGGUUUAGUCAUUAGAACCAAACGGGGUGCUUUAGGGACUAAAUUUUAGUCACUAAAAUUUAGUUUAGUGACUAAAGAAACCUAACAGGGCCUAAAUCAUUUCCAAGUGGGUUGAAUCAAGAUCGUAAUGAGUGAUAUUGAGGGGGACUAAAUCAUUUCCAAGUGGGUGUGUUCAUUUGUUCCGGAAUCAUGACCUAAAACCAAUCCAACCAGAAAUGUUUAUCUAAUUUGUAUAAGCUUUGAUCAACUGGAACCAUUCCUAGCCUCAAUCCUGAACAAACGAACGCACUCUUUAAUCCCUGUGAUUUAUGGCUGAAACGAAGGCCUCAAUAAUCUCCAAUGUACCCCGAAGCACGGGUCGCCGUGACGCUGUCCUUCCCUGUAAUAAUCACACAAACACACACACAGAUACACAGGAAAUGAAACCCAGGAAAUCACUCCCUAUUGGUACAGCUUGCAAGUCAACGUUUCACAAGACCUGGUACUCACAUACAACGAAAAUCCCGACACAUGUCUUCAGACGGAGUUACAAAUUCACCGGAGCAACAUCAGGUCAUAGUUAUACAUUCCUAAUUUUUCUACAAGUACCAAACAUGAGACGUACAAACUCUUCGGCGUGUUGCCUGUAGGCUUCACUUCCCUUCACCCAGAUUACGGCAACACCGUGGACCCUUGUGCUACGGAUCGCUGCAAAGGAUUUCGGUGAAGACGGAGGGUGCGUCCUGCAGGUACGACGACCUGCUCUUGUCCGGAAGUGGAGCGUUGAGCAUCGUUAGAAGACACCCCAUGGGUAGAUUCAACGUCUCGCUUGGGGUGUCCACCAGAAGCGCGCAUAGCUCCUCUGCCAUCUUCGAGUAGCAUGCCCUGUCAAACAUGACACUGUCAGCAAGCCCAGUGAGAGAAUACUCCAAAUAUAAACCUAAACAAGAAUGCUUCAGAAUUCCAAAUGGUGCUGAUCAGCUGGGAUUUGAACAAUUUAACAUAACAGUGAAGUUCCUCAGGUAGUUCAGGUUUGCUAUUUGCAUCAACUCAUUAUAAUCCAGUGGCCCAACUCCAUCAAAACAUGGUACAGAAGGAAAUGGUUUCAGAUAGUGGAUGUGGAUCAGUCACAUACUGUAGAAUCGAACGUUACCUUGACUCAACAGGUAAUUUGCUUCCCCAGACUAACAACGACUCGUUUAAUCGGCCAAAGAAACUUCUGCAUGAUUCACUCAUCUCCUCGAGUGAACCCUGAAACAAAAAAAGUAAUGCUGAUCUCAGCCACAGUUCUACAAGGAAAUGCUUAUGAGUUUGUCUCUGGAGUAAGGGCUUGUACCGAAUCAUCCGUGGCAUUUCUUUCUUGCAUUGAGUUCUUCAGAACAUAUAAGUCUAUGUAUAUUCCGGCACCAAGGUCCCAGUCAGCAAUUUCAUACUUGUGGUUCUCCAAGGCACUUGUGAUCCUCCAGACCUCCUAAUGGUUAGCUGAGCCAAAAUAACAACGAAUGAAGUGACUGCAUAUUCAUACCAGGAAUGCCAUGUUUAUCAAAAAAAAGACAAUAAAAUGAAUAGAUUGUUUGAACAAACUCAUCAUGAGGUUUCUAGGAAAUAUGUGCAGCUGUAUAUUUAUGCACAGCAAAAGCAAUAUGUUUCAACCAUGGUGAAAAAAGGGUAAUAUAUUUACCAAAUAAAGAAAUUCAUUGAAAAAAUGUGUUAGGGCACUGUAAGCAAAACUUACAUGACAGAAACAUAGAAUGAGCAACAGAAGUCACGAAAAUAGUAUGAGCUUUCUUCCAGUUGCCACACUGAAUCAAAUUCUCCAGUGCGCCCUGUUUAUCUCCAUAGUAUUCAUGAUAAAGAGCCUGUAUAUAGAGCUCAUUAGCUACACAUGCUUCAUGUGUGAUGUUUUUUCAUGCACUGGCAUUAUAAACCAUUUGCAAAGCAUAUUACUAAAGAAAUUUUAUACUCACCAGAGCUUCAUGCAUCCAUUCUUCUGGUAUACCAAGUUCUACAAUGUACUGCCUUUGAGCAUCAUCUCUACUCCAUGACUCGCAAUACUGUGAUAAAACUUCCCUGAUUAAUUUCUCAUGAAUGUAUGGGGCAUCGUCAAGAUACGGCAUGUGCAGAAUGACAUAGAUAGCCCAAUGGCACCUCCCAAAACAAAGCAAUUGAUAAACAAAACUUAAAUCUAGCAAGUGAAGGUCAUUUGAACUGAAAGCUCCAACAGCCUCCAAAAUUGAACGCUGAUGCCAUAUGAAAUGAUAAUCCAAGGGGUCGAAUGAAGAUGAGAAUGCACUGAACAUAGUCUUUAGCAGCCCAAACUUCUCAUCUUUAUUGGCAUGAAGAAGCAUUAGGUAGAAGGAGAUAUCAAAAUGGUCACCCGGGGACCACUGAGGUGCUUCAUCAAGUGGUCCUUCAUCUAUAUAUAUACAGGAACAGGAUAGAGAACUUUGCCCUCACCAAGGAGUUGAUCGUAAGAACGAAUGACAAUAUCGAGUGGUGUAUCAGGUGAUAAUUGAUACCACAUAAUCAAACCAAGGUACCUCUUCCAAUCAAUUGGUAAAUCUAGAAAAGCGGCCUGUACGUUACCAGCAAGUAACAUAUAUACCUUUAACCAGUCUUCCUCAAUAUAAUCAAAAUCUAGACCAUUCAUUUUCCGUUGAUCCAGUGUUUGUGCAAGGUCAGAUCGAUUUGACAUUGACCCACCUGCCUGACUUAGCAAGAUUGCCAACCGAACAUCACCCCUUGAGGCAGCAAUUUCAGUGGCCGUGUCCAAUUGUCGACCAGUCAAAAGGAGGAGGAUAUUUUCCAAGUACAUGGCAUCAUUUAAGGAACCCACCUCUCCUUGCACCCGAUGGCAAACACUAUCCUGUAACCAAUUGCUAAAAUCUGCUCUCCUAAACAAAGGGCAGGUUGUAGCCGUCGACGAGGCUGACGUCGUAGAAGUCCUUGCCACCAUCGUCGUCGAGCGUGAACCCGGCGAGCGUGGCGGGCGGCGACGCCCCCGCGCCGCGGCACUCGACCUCGCCGGAGCCACAGUCGCCCGUGGCGCAGGACCCCUUGCCGGAGGCGUUGAAGGUGCAACCGGAGCGGCCCCAGAAGCGGCCCGACCACCCCUGCGGCGCGUACAGCGAACGCAACUGCCCCGGCGCGAGCGCGAAGCCCGUGGUCUCCAGCGGCGGCGUCCCCGAGCCGGACAGCAGGCCCGGCCACACCGUGUCGCCGCAGCGGUUGGUGAAGGUGAACGUGAUGCCGCAUAUCGACCCUGCGCGACGGACGCGAGCACCGCACCGGAACGGACACCGGUUCAGUCACACUUGCCCUUCCUCCCCCAUGAAUCCGAACAGACGGGAUCGAUUGGUACUGGUAGAAGGGAAAGAACACCAGGCACGCGCUGCCGGAAAAUGAAUCAGAGCCACCACGUACGUACCUUGGAAGAAGGAGAGGAUGAGGACGGAGGCGCGCCCGAGAUGGACGAGCAGCAUCCCGGCGCCCAGCACGAGCGGCUCGCCGGCCUCCGAGUCAGAGCGACCUGCGAGGCACGGGCCAUACGAGGAAAGCGGUUACACUCGGCGAGAGAGCUCACCGGGGUCGGCCGGAUCUCUUGGCCGGGACUGCGGUGGGGCGGGGGAAGAGGGUUCGCCGACGAACGGAGCCGGGCGCGAGGUGCUGCUACGGCGACGUCGAGGAGGAGGAGGAGCCGCAGGGGGGCGCUGGAUCCGCCGCCGCGGCUCCAUCUCUGCGAACCACCCGCCAUCCCCGCCGCGACAGCCACGAUCCCAGCGUACCCCCUCGUCGUGCACAUGGGCGACACCGUGCUACUGCCCGCCCCCCCGUCAUCCCCUCGAUCUGGCGCACGCGCUCGUGUUCACGGUCGGCGUUGUCCGGGUAAGGCUCGCGGUCGAAGGGUUGGUCGGCGUUAGUGCGGGGGUGCUCGAGCUCGCGCCACAUCUGCAAGAGCGAGGAGGGCGCGUUGAGGGAGGGCGCUUGCGGGUGCGGCGGCGGUCGAGGAGAGGAGGAAGGAGGAGGGGUCGAGGGUGGAGACCGGGUGGAGGCGCGCAAGCGCGAGGAGCUCGGCCAGGCGGUUGCGGCGCUCGACCUCGCGUCCAUGGAGGAGAGCACCUCCUCGGCCUGGCGCGCGACCCAGCGGCUGAGGAGGCGCGACUCCCGCCUCCGCCUGCGCACCGCCGACGACUCGGCCUCGCCGUAUUCACGCGGAGGACGCCCUGGAUGGUGGAUCCGAGGCGUUCCAUGGCCUGCCCUAUGGCGUCAAGGCAACAUGCUGCGCCGAGGUGGAGGCCGGGUUAAUUAUGUGGGGCGGGGGAAGAGGGUUCGCCGACGAACGGAGCCGGGCGCGAGGUGCUGCUACGUCGACGUCGAGGAGGAGCCGCGGGGGGGGGGGGGGAGCUGGAUCCGCGGGCGGUGAAUCGCGGCGGGGGGAGGGCGUGCGCGGGUUUCGCGGCGUGGGCUGCUGAGGUGGGGGCGCUGGAUCCGCGGGCGGUGAAUCGCGACGGGGGUGAGGGCGUGCGCGGGUUUCGCGGCGUGGGCUGCUGAGGGCGGGGGCAGUCUACAAUUGGCUCUUAAUAGUUGUAGAGAUAUAUGUUUAAAUAAAUAACGAUGAAUCUAGACACAUAUAUGAAACAAAUACAUUAAUUAUUGUAUAAAUAAACUAAAAAGAUAAAACAAAUUUUAUUUUGGUACGGCGGGAGUGCAGCGUUAGGGUUCGAUUUGUUGAGAACUACGUCACCACGGAUCACCAGAUCCGCUCCCUUCCCUCCCGUCAGCAGUAGAGGCGCAAGAAGCUGUAGAGUACCCGUCUUCCUUCCCAUUAGCACGACAGAGGAAACACAAUAGACACGAUGUAGGGUUGGGCCUCUGGUCUCUUUCUCUUCUCUCUUCCAUAUGAGGGGUACAUGUUCUAUAUAUAGAGACGCGAUAGCCCUCAGGGCUAUAUUCGGUAUUUGCCCACAUAACCCAUUAGCGCCGAGGUCAUUCUAUCAACAACUUUCGACAAUAUUCAGAUGUCUACUUGACUGUAGACCAGUACAUGGAGGUAAAAAUCUAAUUUAACAGCUCAUUCAGAUGUGAAUGUAAUUUUGAGCUAACACUUUAUAUGCAGGUAACUCUUCCAUGGAUGGAACACCGGCCGCAGGCUUACAAGGCUUUGUGUGAGAUAUGGGCUUCGACCGAGUGGAUUGAGAAGUCAAACAGAAAUCGACAUAGGCAGCGCCAUCAACAGGACGAGGACGAUGAUGAGGUCGUAGUCAACCAUACCUAUGGGGCUGAUGGACACAUUCGGUUGGCUAAGCGAAUGGUGAGUAUGUAGUAUUCUGUUUUACUCAGAAAUGAAACAGGAUUGAACUCAUAUAUUUGCAGGAGGCUCAAAAUGGAGUUGUCCCAAGCCCAAUCGAUGUUUAUAGGAGAGGGCAUCGAGCGAAAAAUAGUGAAAUCUCCGAUGAGCUGUGUAGUCAAACGGCCGUUGAGCGUAUGGUUAGUUGUUGUUAUGAUUAAUAUUUUCUUGUCAUAUAGCUAUAAAUUACAUGUGUGCUGAACCUUCAUAUUGUAUUGCAGGAGACAUACGGGCAGGAGAUGGUUAAGAAGUAUGGAGAAGACUACGAUUGGCGAGGAGCGCCAACCAUCGACGCUGAAGUUGUGCAUUCACUUGGAGGCAAGGCGCAUGGACGAUAAGAACUUGUAAAUUGUUUUCAAUAAUAUUGGAACUACGACCGAAUAGCUAAUUUUCUUGUUUUUCAAGAUAUUCUAUGUUUACCGGUGUUAUCGAUUCGACGGAGUUGCGUUCUCGUGGCGGCUCUUCGUCGCAGGCGGGCUGUGGUAGUAGCAGCCGUAGUCGCCGCUCUGUAUCUAGCAUGGAGGAAGCUAUGAGGGAGCAGCAAGAAAAGUUUCGUGAAGAUCUACGGCAACAACAAAUGGCAUUUCUCCAACAGCAAUCAGAGUACAUGGCUGCUUACAAUGCACAGGCGCAACAAGCAAUGAACGUGAGUGUCUUAUUUAUUCUCAACACGCUCGAUAUUGGUUCUAUAACUAAUAUAUUAUAUUUGCAAUAGUCUUGGUUUCCACAGCAGGCACAGCAGCAACCAUUUGUUUUCCCUCAAUUUCAGCCGCCGAUGCCUCAGUGGGGAUUACAUGCUCCGCCACCUCCACCUCCACAUCAGGUUAUUCAAUUUAGUUAAGACUUGUCGUUUGUAUCAACCUAAUUUCAAAUCUUUACUAAACUUGAUUUUGUAGGGAUCCGGGGUCAUGGGCCACAACACGCCACCACCGGUCAUACGUGGAGGUUAUCUUUGUGUCAUAAGUUGUCGACGUUUAGGGUUUAGAGCCGUCGUGAUCGUAUCCUCCGGCCUGAACAACGUUGUUUUAUGUUCAGAGCGGAGGACCCGACUUUUACGUUUACCUCGCUCACGUUUUCUGUCGACGACGUUCUUUAGUAGUGCCCCCGCGCAUCGGUGUGGAUGGACGCGCAGUGGGAUAUAUAUGUGUUUCCAGGUAGUUGGAGAUUCGAAACGAACCAGUGAUGUAGAUUUGUUUCAUCUAAAUAUAUGCUAUAGUUCAAAA